CCUACGGGAGGCAGCAGUGGGGAAUAUUGCACAAUGGGCGCAAGCCUGAUGCAGCAACGCCGCGUGAGGGACGACGGCCUUCGGGUUGUAAACCUCUUUUAGUAGGGAAGAAGCGAAAGUGACGGUACCUGCAGAAAAAGCACCGGCUAACUACGUGCCAGCAGCCGCGGUAAUACGUAGGGUGCAAGCGUUAUCCGGAAUUAUUGGGCGUAAAGAGCUCGUAGGCGGUUUGUCGCGUCUGCUGUGAAAACUGGAGGCUCAACCUCCAGCCUGCAGUGGGUACGGGCAGACUAGAGUGCGGUAGGGGAGAUUGGAAUUCCUGGUGUAGCGGUGGAAUGCGCAGAUAUCAGGAGGAACACCGAUGGCGAAGGCAGAUCUCUGGGCCGUAACUGACGCUGAGGAGCGAAAGCAUGGGGAGCGAACAGGAUUAGAUACCCUGGUAGUCCAUGCCGUAAACGUUGGGAACUAGAUGUAGGGACCAUUCCACGGUUUCUGUGUCGCNGCUACGCAUAGUUACCCGUCCGUCGGGUAGGUACGGCCGGCCGACGGUAACGUAAACCGUUAAACGGUUAAAGUUAGUACGGUUCGUUGAGACGUUGCCGACGGACGACGACGAGGGAGGAGG
rnacentral:rRNA from 1 species